UGGUUGUCCCAGCUUAUCUGAAGCCCCUCAGUGGGGUGAGCUUAGCAGAAGCCUCCAGGGAAUGACUCCCUGGAGCCAGAGUGCCCCAGACAGCCCAGCUCGGGGCUUCAGGGGCCCUGGCCGCCUCCCAGGCACUUAUUUUAUGUUCAGAAAGAGCAAAGCUGACAGUCAGGGGGAUGAGAGCACCAUUAAUUACCCAGGAAGAAAGGGCGCCAUGAGGACACACCCAAUGCUGCUUGGGGACAUCAUCUAUGGUGGCAUUUUCUGAGAGAAGCACCAAGCCUGAAGCUUGGCUGUCACCCCCACCACCCUCUGCCAUCAGCCGGCCAGGCUUUCCUUCUCCCCAGGAGACAGAGGGAUGCUGGCACCCAAGCCUGACGAGACCCACAAAGGAUGUUCCCUGAAGCAGAACCCCCACGGAGGGGUGGCUAAGUCAAUCUCACACUGCAGAAAGUAGGCAGCACUGAGAAAAAUGCCCUCCAAAUGCCUCCCACGCAUUGGCUAGACUCUGCUGCCAGGGGCCCACCCCAACUCUGCCCCAGCCCUAGCCCAGCCCCGCUCUUCAUACACAGGAAGAUCAUGACCCACCUCUGCAGCGCGAGGUGGAAAUGUGUAUACCGACACCGUGGACUUCGAGGUGAAGAUGCAUCGGAUACUUCAGGAUAUGUGGGAUGAUCUCCUGGGUGGAUAGAUUCUUACAUAUGCUUGAGUAGGGGUGAAGAAAAAAGGCUUAGUUUUCAGUCUAUAAUAUUUGAUUUUAUUUUUAAUAAACAAAAUCAUGACAUGCCAUUUUUAUAGACUAAGAAGCAACACAAGAGAACCUUUUCCUCCAAAGUCAGUGCUUCUCCAGGUUGAAUCUUCCUGUGCCUUCGUCAUUCUUGAGCAAGAGCCACUCUCCGAAAGCUCAAACCAGGGGGUGCUGUCAAGGUUUCUCUUC
rnacentral:lncRNA from 1 species